rnacentral:rRNA from 1 species
UGCGUAGGCGGCCGAUUAAGUUGGAUGUGAAAUACCCGGGCUUAACUUGGGGGUGCAUCCAAUACUGGUUGGCUAGAGUGCAGGAGAGGGAAGCGGAAUUCCUAGUGUAGCGGUGAAAUGCGUAGAUAUUAGGAGGAACACCAGUGGCGAAGGCGGCUUUCUGGACUGUAACUGACGCUGAUGCACGAAAGCGUGGGGAGCAAACA